CUUCAGUUGCUCCAGGGUGGGGCACCCUUUUUUUCUCCUGGGACGUACCUCUUCUUGGGUGACAGGCAGGGUCCCCAGCAAAUAUAUUACUACGGGUUGGGGCUUCUCCUAAGCUCCCAGGCUCUCUGUGCUUAGAUAAUAGGCAGCAAGCUCCUGGCACUGCUUGCAUCCGAGCUUUUAUGACAGUUUGAUUUUUCCCUCCAGUGACUUAUUUUUCUUGUGGGACAGAAAACAGGAAUUUACCGUAAAUGCCCUGUUCUGGUAAGAGUUACAGAGGGUAUCUGAAGGAGGGGAAUAAGGGGACAGGGCUUCUUGAAACUUGACUCCGCUCUGCAGGGGAAGGUCUCCACAAUUCACAGGCCAUACUGGAACAAGGAGGGACUCCUCCUGAAAUGGAAAGGAAACACUCUGCUGGGCAGCCAGCAUGGCUAAACUCUGGAAAACAUCCUGGUAACAGGCCCCACACCCAAAAGGUAAGAAAAUUGGAAAUGAAAGGUAGAAGGCAGUCCCAGGAAGCCCUAACUACGUCCUUUCUGUGGUAUUUAUAUGUGCAAAAGCUGCCCCAGGUCAUUUGACCCUUUAAAAAACAUAGUUCUCUUUUUCUGUCCUGGAAAAGGCUGCACAAGAAUCUCUGUUUAGAGUUUAAACAUAACACGUUACUGUACUUUGAAUACUAAAACAUUUACAUGUGUGUGUAUAUAUAUAUAUGAGACUGACAGACUUAUGAGACUUUACAGACGACUUCUGAGGCACAUAGCAGCAUAAAACAGACUCCUGCUGCUCUCACAGUAAGACUCACUAACUAAUAUUCUGCAUUGGAUAGCAGACCUAACUGAAAAACUGCCUACUGGGGUGACAUCAUCGGAUUAUAUACUAUAUUAACUCUUUCCAUAGCAUUUUGCAUGCACCGCUCCCACACUUUCCAUGGAGCCUGUAGUUCAUGAGCUGAUAUGCACAGAAACAGAGGUGGCUUCAAUGUCUUGGCACUCUCUGAAACGGGACAUGCCCCAGCUAGAAUAUUCCUGCGUUCUCUGGAAGAGUAAGGUGUAUUUUUUUUAAAAAAAAGAUCCUUCAGGAUAUGGAAAAAUAUUGCAUACUAGGGAUGGGUACUGCACGUCCUAUGGUUUCCGAACCCUGUGAAGGAACCUCCUCCCAAAGGCCGCAUUUGCUGAGGCCAAGACAUGUGCUUUGUAAUGCCGUAUGAAUGUGUAGCUGCUUUGAAAGUCUCAUCCAAUGGGGCUCUACCACACUCUUUCCUUUAGGAGAGAAAACUUUUGCAACUCCUUUCCUAGGUGGCCGUACACCCAAACUCACUUUAUUUUCGUGAGCAGGUUUAAAUUGAAAUGGGCUGAGGACAGCUGCCCCAUAAAACACCUCUGGACAUUUAUUGAUGGUUUCCUGUGUGCUACUGACUUAGGAAGAUAAUAGAAAUGUUUCACAAAAUGUCCUGAAGAUUUCUUCUGACCCUUUGGCAUGUAACACUUUCCCAAUAGUUCACUUAUGUUUCUUGUUCCUCUGUUAGUUUUAUAUUACUCCGCAUUUUGUCGAUAUGUGUAUGAUGGAUUUUUUUUUUGAUGGUUUCACAACGUGGAGUUCUUUCCAGAUGGGGAAAGAUUUAGUAUAAUGGGGCUUUUUUGGUCUUCUUUUUGUUAUGGUCAAAUUGAGGCUAUAUUUUUUGAACAACUGUGUAACUAUCCCUUUCUAAAAUGUCAACAGUCUUUUGUUUUGGCAGUACUUUCUUCUAUUCCAUUCAUUUUCAACUAGGGCAAUGCUUUCAAAAGGUGAGGCAAACAACUGCUUCGGUUUCCCUCCCCCUUCCAGUGAUGAAUUGGUUUUAAGAUUUGUCAAAAAGGCAUUUCAGGAGACCUAUGGGGUAAACAAAGUAAGUACAGGAUAGUGAUGCACAAACUUGCUGGAAAUUCAUCAGCAUUUUAGUGUGAACCUCUCCUAAUAUAGACAGUUUUGCAUGCAUUUUAGCUUAAUAUAGACAUACUUGUAAAACAGUAUCCCUUAAUAGAAUAUAUUUAGUAUGUUGUUUUUACUAAUGUGUGCAUUUUUAGGCACACUUUAUCCUAGUGCAUGCUUUUUUGCAUACAUUGCCCCACUGGAGAAUUGUAUUGCAAAAUUCAGAGAAGUGUGACUUUCAAAGAACAGUUGCGUUUUGGAAAGUGCAAAUUGGUAGAUUGGCCUUUAAAUGUGAACUGAAAUUGAAUCUCUGUUCCAUCCCCGCUACAGAGUGAAAGAAACUAGGACAAAGGUGAAACAUAUAGACUGAAAUUCUGCGGGAGGCAGAUUGAAGUUACGGUCUCAUAGGGAGUGCUGUCAGGACAGGACUUUAGGGCUAAUGUUUGGGAUUCCCACCCUGUAGAAUGAGCAGGAAGAUCCCAAAUGCAGCAGGGCAAGAUGAUUUUGAUUUAAUUUUGAAUACACAAUACCAUCGGGAGAGGGUUGUAUUAUAAGGUCUUUUGAAGUUAGCUCAGUAAUAAUAUACACUACCUUGACCUAGUUCAGCAUGACACAGCGGGGGGGGGGGAUACACAAGCACAUUGUAAGGCAUAUUGGUCUAAACCAACAUGGAUUCAUGAAGACACAACCAUGGCUAUAGGUUUGCUUCUUUUUACCCCAUUCCCUUUGUGUGGGAUCCAAUCCAGCAAGGAAGGAUAUCCUGCACAGAGAGCUUUUUGCAUGUGGGUUAUCCUUACUAGUCAAGGUACCAGUCCAUAGAAUGACAGAUUUUCAUUGUAAAUUCUCGUUGGAUAAAAUACAGUUCAUCUACCUGUAUGCAAAUUUAAGUGAUCGCGUGAUUGUGGAUUGUAACACUUUGAAUUGCAAGUGGGGUGUGUGCCAUAUUUUUGAUUGCCCAGCCAUAGUAAACCUGAAAGUACAGUGGUGCCUCGCAAGACGAAAUUAAUCUGUUCCGUGAGUCUCUUCGUCUUGCGGUUUCUUUGUCUUGCGAAGCACGGCUAUUAGCGGCUUAGCGGCUUAGUGGCUAUUAACGGCUUAGCGGCUUAGCGGCUAUUAACGGCUUAGCGGCUUAGCGGCUUUAAGAAAAAGGAAACAAACUCGCAAGAACUCGCAAGACGUUUCGUCUUGCGAAGCAAGCCCAUAGGGAAAUUCGUCUUGCGGAACGACUCAAAAAACGCAAAACCCUUUCGUCUAGCGAGUUUUUCAUCUUGCGAGGCAUUCGUCUUGCGGGGCACCACUGUAGUAAACUAUCAGGGAGAGGGCUAGUGUCUACAUACAGGGAGGUGUUUUUUGGUUUUGCAUUGCAAAAUAAUCAGUGUUAUGAUCUCCCACCUGUAGUUUGAAAUGGUAGAGCCCAGAAUGUUCCAUCUAAUUUUGUAAAUGGUGUAAAUCUGGAAUAGAGAGAAAAAUGAGUGCAUAUACUCUUGGUUUAUUUUACAGUGUUUUAUUUGUGGCCAUUCAAGGACUGGUUACAGCUUGAGUAAUCAGCUCUGAUCACCACUCUUUAGGGAACAAUCCUAACUCCCAUCUGCCCAGUGGCAGAUCUGUAGGGAAUGUGGAAGGUAUCUCUGCAUCAGGAGUUUGACAUUUCGUGUCAGCCAAGGCAGAAGGUGUGUCUGUGUGUGUGUGUGUGUGUGAGAGAGAGAGAGGUAGGGUUUUCAUAAAAUCAUAGAAUGGUAGAGUUGGAAGAGACCCUGAGGGUCAUCUAGUUCAACCCCCAGCAACAUUGGAAUCUCAACUAAAGCAUCUAUGACAGAUACCCCGCCUUUUGCUAUGCCUGCUCCAGGCUGGUGCAGAACAGAGGCCCAGAUUGGGACCACUGCCAUUAGCUGGGCCAGCUUUAGGAUCCAGUCUAACUCUGCCCCUUCCCACCCCAGAGAUGACUGUUUUGGAUAUUUCUGCUGGCUACUUUCAGUGGGCCUAGCAAGGACUUUCACAGAGCCCACUGACCAAUGUAGCUGAACAGAGCCAGACAAAAAAGGUCACUUCUGUUGCAUCCAAACCCUGUACAGCAUGCAGAUUAGGGUUUUGGGUUGCUGUGUUAUAUGCUUACUCUGUAUCUGCUUUCACCUUUUGGCCCCUCUAAAUCAAGGUGUGCUUUUGUGUCAGAGCUCAAGGUGUCUGCAGUUAAUCUCUUCUUCAAUGGCAGCUAUGAACAGAUUUUUCAGGUGUAAUUAUAAUGUGAAGAAGGCCUAUUGAUUAAAGGUCAAUAAUUAUCUGAGCAGGAAAGUAAUCCUCUGCAAAUCUCAGACCUGUUUCAGAGACAUUUUGUAUUAUAAAUCUGCUACUUAAACAGAGGAAAAGGAGACAGUAACUCCUUUCCUAAAUGACUUGAGAAAAAGAUUUUGGAGGCAGAGAAACAUGAAAAAUAAAUUCAAUAAAACCCAAGCAAUAUUCUUCCCCCAAACAGUAUGGAAAACUUAUUUUCUGAAAAAUAUGGCAAAACAAAAACUUCAUUAACGUGGUUGGUCUGACCCCCCCCCCAACAAAUUGUUACCUUUCAUUAACCCAGUGUUCAAUUCCUGGUCGUUAACAUAUGAUUAAUGAUUAGAUGAACACUGUUUUAUAGUUUACAUACGAGGUCCCAUGACACUGCCUCUUCUAUUCGUACUCUUUUUACUCCUAUUCCAAAUAAUGUUCUAAAUCUUCUCUCUUGUUCACACACAUACCUGGAGUUUUGACUCCAGAGCUCUUAGCACCCUGGCUGUCUGUUCCAUUGCAUUUCAAGCAUUUUGUAAGCUACUUUGAGAACUUCGGUUAGUAGACAAGGUAUAUAAAUAUUUUAAAUAAGCAAAUUCUAUGCAGCACAGUACUGUCAUAAAUUACUGUAGAUGCAAACUUAAUGGGUAUACAGACUUUCAUGUAUUUUUGUGUUCUGUGUACGGUUAAAUAGUUCUUAUAUAUUAAGAGAAGGAACAGAUGCUGGAGAAAGGCAUCUGCUUUAACCCAUUUUCAUUGCUACAUUAUUUGCUUUCUAAUAACAGACUUGUUGCUAGUGGGUUCUGAAUAUAUCUCCAGUACUGAAACUUAAGGCCAUUUUUUACCUCUUUGGUGUCAGAGAACUGGACUUUCUGACAAGCAGCGAAAGAACAGGCACAGAGGAAGAGGUGGGGAGAAGCAGUUAGCCACAGGAAUUCAACCUUUGUACACACACAGAGAGACGGAGAGACACAGAGAGCAGGAAUUCAGCUGCAAGGCUCAGAUAGUGGCCCAGACACAGAAAUAGAGAGAGUGCAAUCACCCUGAUUGCGUAGACUCAGGAGAUUAGCCGAGAAGCGCGAAAAUUACAGGAAGAGGAGGUGAGGGUUUUCCUGUUGGGGGAGAAGGGGGCGGAGCUCAGUCCAGGCAACCGUGGCAUCGGUGGAAGAAAGACUGAAUUAGCGGAGCUCCAACCGGGGCUUUUUGUUGAACCAAUAAAUCUUAAUUAAUUAACUGCCAGAGUCGUCUCGUGUGUGUGUGGGAGAGACCCAGGCCUUACAUUUGGCUUCACCACACCUCUCCUCUGCUACAUCAGUAAGGAGGAGAUUGGAAGCUUUCGCUUCCAUUUGCAAUUAUAAUUAUUGAACCUGGAC